rnacentral:tRNA from 1 species
GCGCCAUUAGCAUAAUAGGAGAAUGCACGCGCCUUCUAAGCGUGAGAUUGGAUUAGGGUUCGAGUCCCCCAUGGCGCA